GGGUCGUCUUCAUCCUGGAGACGAACUCCUGCACGCGCACGAGUUCUUCACUUUCUCGAUCCAAAUCCUCAUCCAAUCGACCAAUCUCUUACCCCUAGUACAUCCAUGACCCCAUAUAAAUGCUCGCUUGCUCCUAUUCGUCCGAUUUUUCACCAACUUGAGAUCUCCCAUGCCCGUUUUGCCUCAUUUCGAUCUCGCCGAAGUUCAGCCGUUGCAGAAGGUCUCGUCGGUCGAUUUCGUCGCCACAGAAGGUUCCCAGCACCUCCCUUACCCUCUGUCGUCUUUGCCUUAACCUCCUAUGUCCCCCUAACCAUCUAUAUCGCAUAGAGGCGCAUCCAUAAG
rnacentral:lncRNA from 1 species